rnacentral:lncRNA from 1 species
UUCGAGGAUAUUAUCUUCCACCGCAUGAGCCCUCGCGCGAGAAUCCUUAGCGUAAGUGAUGGUCCAUUCAUGUUCCUUUCUUACUUAGAUUCUGCACCUUUUCUUACUGAUGAUGAUCUUUACCCCUAUAUGGUUCAUUCGUGUUCCUUUCUUACUUAGAUUCUGCACCUUUUCUUACUGAUGAUGAUCUUUACCCCUAUAUGGUUCAUUCGUGUUCCUUUCUUACUUAGAUUCUGCACCUUUUCUUACUGAUGAUGAUCUUUACCCCUAUAUGGUUCAUUCGUGUUCCUUUCUUACUUAGAUUCUGCACCUUUUCUUACUGAUGAUGAUCUUUACCCCUAUACAACUCACAGGGUGUCUACAAGGCCACUCCUGCUCAGGUUCGAGCUGUCCAGCAGUUUACAAGGAAGCAACUCAAGUUGGACCCAGUGGUGGUGGAUCCUAUCGCCGCCGAAGUUCACCGGGAGUUCACAAGGACUGCAGGCCUGGGAGAGAACGUGAUGUCCGCCAGUGAUGUGGCCAGGAUCCUCAAGAUCAGGGAGGGUAUGUCAAGCCUCCACCCAGAUGAUCAGAAGAAGCUGGAGAUGAUCAAGAUCUUCGUGGACAACAUAAAUGCUGGCUCAGCUAUCUGCACGGCUGGUGGUUCCGUUUUGGGAGGCAUGUGGACUCUUCGCCAUUGGAAUACAAGUUUCCCCAUGUCCGACCUGCCGGAAGAUUGGGUUUGGU